AUGGCUACCACCUCCGCUGCAGCUCGCCCUGAGGAGCCUCUGCCCCCCAAAGAAUUACUCCCGAAAGCCAAGACACAGAAGAAUGAGGGGGAGCUGGAAGAGGACAAGGCUGGCGAGCUAGGUGAGACCCCGUUAGAGAGACUCUGGGGUCUGACGGAGAUGUUUCCUGAGAGGGUCUGGUCAGCUGCUGGAGCCACCUUGUUCUUUGUGACCGAGAAGAUGCAU
rnacentral:lncRNA from 1 species